rnacentral:rRNA from 1 species
GAUGAACGCUGGCGGCGUGCCUAAUACAUGCAAGUCGAGCGAACGGACGAGAAGCUUGCUUCUCUGAUGUUAGUAGCGGACGGGUGAGUAACACGUGGAUAACCUACCUAUAAGACUGGGAUAACUUCGGGAAACCGGAGCUAAUACCGGAUAAUAUUUUGAACCGCAUGGUUCAAAGGUGAAAGACGGUCUUGCUGUCACUUAUAGAUGGAUCCGCGCUGCAUUAGCUAGUUGGUAAGGUAACGGCUUACCAAGGCAACGAUGCAUAGCCGACCUGAGAGGGUGAUCGGCCACACUGGAACUGAGACACGGUCCAGACUCCUACGGGAGGCAGCAGUAGGGAAUCUUCCGCAAUGGGCGAAAGCCUGACGGAGCAACGCCGCGUGAGUGAUGAAGGUCUUCGGAUCGUAAAACUCUGUUAUUAGGGAAGAACAUAUGUGUAAGUAACUGUGCACAUCUUGACGGUACCUAAUCAGAAAGCCACGGCUAACUACGUG